GAUGAACGCUAGCUACAGGCUUAACACAUGCAAGUCGAGGGGAAACGAUAGAGAAAGCUUGCUUUUUCUAGGCGUCGACCGGCGCACGGGUGAGUAACGCAUAUCCAACCUGCCCAUCACUUGGGGAUAACCUUGCGAAAGUAAGACUAAUACCCAAUGACGUCUCUAGAAGACAUCUGAAGGAGAUUAAAGAUUUAUCGGUGAUGGAUGGGGAUGCGUCUGAUUAGCUUGUUGGCGGGUAACGGCCCACCAAGGCGACGAUCAGUAGGGGUUCUGAGAGGAAGGCCCCCCACAUUGGAACUGAGACACGGUCCAAACUCCUACGGGAGGCAGCAGUGAGGAAUAUUGGUCAAUGGACGAGAGUCUGAACCAGCCAAGUAGCGUGCAGGAUGACGGCCCUAUGGGUUGUAAACUGCUUUUAUAAGGGAAUAAAGUGGGAGUCGUGACUCUUUUGCAUGUACCUUAUGAAUAAGGACCGCUAAUUCCGUGCCAGCAGCCG
rnacentral:rRNA from 1 species